CUUCCCCUUAGGACCGGGAUUAUCUUUGGGAAACUGAAGAUAAUACCUGGUUUUUAGGUUUAUGCCUGGAAAUGGUUUCCCUUUGAAAUGUAUUUUUCGCCCUAAGGAUAGAUCUGCGGCUGAUUAGGUCGUUGGUGGGGUAAUGGCCCACCAAGCCGAUGAUCGGUACGGGUUGUGAGAGCAAGAGCCCGGAGAUGGACCCUGAGACAAGGUUCCAGACCCUACGGGGUGCAGCAGGCGCGAAACCUCCGCAAUGUACGCAAGUGCGACGGGGGGAUCCCAAGUGUUAUUCUUAACAGAAUAACUUUUCAUUAGUGUAAAAAGCUUUUAGAAUAAGAGCUGGGCUAGACCGGUGCCAGCCGCCGCGGUAACACCGGCAGCUCAAGUGGUAGCUGUUUUUAUUGGGCCUAAAGCGUUCGUAGCCGGUUUGAUAAGUCUUUGGUGAAAGCUUGUAGCUUANCUAUAAUAAUUGCUGAAGAUACUGUCAGACUUGAAGUCGGGAGAGGUUAGAGGUACUACCGGGGUAGGGGUGAAAUCCUAUAAUCCUGGAGAGGACCACCAUGUGGCGAAGGCGUCUAACUGGAACGAUCUUGACGGUGAGUAACGAAAGCCAGGGGUCGCGAACCGGAUUAGAUAUCCGGGUAGUCGUGGCCCGUAAACGAUGUGGACUUGGUGUUGGGAUGGCCUCGAGUUGUUUCUGGUGCCGAAGGGAAGCUGUUAAGUCCACUGCCUGGGAAGUACGGUCGCCAGACUGAAACUUAAAGGAAUUGGAGCGGGAGCACCACAACGCGUGUAGCCUGGGGUUUAAUUUGGAUUGAACGCCGGACAUCUCACCGGAUUCGACAGCAGAAUGAUAAUCAGGUUGAUGACCUUAUUUGACUAGCUUGAGAGGAGGUGCAUGGCCGCCGUCAGAUCGUACUGUGAAGGGUCGUGUUAAGU
rnacentral:rRNA from 1 species